UAAACUCAUUGAUAAGCCUCGCCUACUGACC
rnacentral:piRNA from 1 species